rnacentral:lncRNA from 1 species
AAUCCCCACAUCUUGCAAAUGUAAUGAGAGUGGGAUUAAGUUGACGAAACAAGCUUUCUGUUAGCUUCAGGAGUCAGCAGCAUUUGGUCAUUUUUAUUGCAGGGCUGUUGUCCUUAGUUGUCCCAGCUCCUUCCACAAAGAGGCCCCACCUACUUUUCUCCUGAUGGGUACUCUACUCUGGAGCACAGGGGUUAACCAGUGAGAAUCCUACACACGUGAGAAGUGUGGUCACUUCAGAUCAAGGCGAGAAUUCACCCUGCAUUUGAAUUAAGAGGUUGGCAACCUAGUACAAUCACAAAUUGUCCCACAUCACCUUACUACAUAGAGUCCAAAAUACCUAUUGAAACGAGCAACUGCAAUCCCUCCCCCUGCCAAAAAUAACAAAAGAUAGAAUUCACCCAAUGGAUGCCUUUGAUCCAUUAAAAA